UACGUAGGGUGCGAGCGUUGUCCGGAAUUAUUGGGCGUAAAGGGCUCGUAGGCGGUCUGUCGCGUCGAAAGUGAAAACUCAGGGCUUAACCCUGAGCCUGCUUCCGAUACGGGCAGACUAGAGGUAUGCAGGGGAGAACGGAAUUCCUUGUGUAGCGGUGAAAUGCGCAGAUAUCAGGAGGAACACCGGUGGCGAAGGCGGUUCUCUGGGCAUUACCUGACGCUGAGGAGCGAAAGUGUGGGGAGCGAACAGG
rnacentral:rRNA from 1 species